UAUUUGGUCGUAGACCCGAAACCAGGUGAUCUACCCUUGGUCAGGUUGAAGUUCAGGUAACACUGAAUGGAGGACCGAACCGACUUACGUUGAAAAGUGAGCGGAUGAACUGAGGGUAGCGGAGAAAUUCCAAUCGAACCUGGAGAUAGCUGGUUCUCUCCGAAAUAGCUUUAGGGCUAGCCUCAAGUGAUGAUUAUUGGAGGUAGAGCACUGUUUGGACGAGGGGCCCCUCUCGGGUUACCGAAUUCAGACAAACUCCGAAUGCCAAUUAAUUUAACUUGGGAGUCAGAACAUGGGUGAUAAGGUCCGUGUUCGAAAGGGAAACAGCCCAGACCACCAGCUAAGGUCCCAAAAUAUAUGUUAAGUGGAAAAGGAUGUGGCGUUGCCCAGACAACUAGGAUGUUGGCUUAGAAGCAGCCAUCAUUUAAAGAGUGCGUAAUAGCUCACUAGUCGAGUGACACUGCGCCGAAAAUGUACCGGGGCUAAACAUAUUACCGAAGCUGUGGAUUGUCCUUUGGACAAUGGUAGGAGAGCGUUCUAAGGGCGUUGAAGCAUGAUCGUAAGGACAUGUGGAGCGCUUAGAAGUGAGAAUGCCGGUGUGAGUAGCGAAAGACGGGUGAGAAUCCCGUCCACCGAUUGACUAAGGUUUCCAGAGGAAGGCUCGUCCGCUCUGGGUUAGUCGGGUCCUAAGCUGAGGCCGACAGGCGUAGGCGAUGGAUAACAGGUUGAUAUUCCUGUACCACCUAUAAUCGUUUUAAUCGAUGGGGGGACGCAGUAGGAUAGGCGAAGCGUGCGAUUGGAUUGCACGUCUAAGCAGUAAGGCUGAGUAUUAGGCAAAUCCGGUACUCAUUAAGGCUGAGCUGUGAUGGGGAGAAGACAUUGUGUCUUCGAGUCGUUGAUUUCACACUGCCGAGAAAAGCCUCUAGAUAGAAAAUAGGUGCCCGUACCGCAAACCGACACAGGUAGUCAAGAUGAGAAUUCUAAGGUGAGCGAGCGAACUCUCGUUAAGGAACUCGGCAAAAUGACCCCGUAACUUCGGGAGAAGGGGUGCUCUUUAGGGUUAACGCCCAGAAGAGCCGCAGUGAAUAGGCCCAAGCGACUGUUUAUCAAAAACACAGGUCUCUGCUAAACCGUAAGGUGAUGUAUAGGGGCUGACGCCUGCCCGGUGCUGGAAGGUUAAGAGGAGUGGUUAGCUUCUGCGAAGCUACGAAUCGAAGCCCCAGUAAACGGCGGCCGUAACUAUAACGGUCCUAAGGUAGCGAAAUUCCUUGUCGGGUAAGUUCCGACCCGCACGAAAGGCGUAACGAUUUGGGCACUGUCUCAACGAGAGACUCGGUGAAAUCAUAGU
rnacentral:rRNA from 1 species